GGCGCAAGCCUGAUGCAGCCAUGCCGCGUGUGUGAAGAAGGCCUUCGGGUUGUAAAGCACUUUCAGUCAGGAGGAAAGGUUAGUAGUUAAUACCUGCUAGCUGUGACGUUACUGACAGAAGAAGCACCGGCUAACUCCGUGCCAGCAGCCGCGGUAAUACGGAGGGUGCGAGCGUUAAUCGGAAUUACUGGGCGUAAAGCGUACGCAGGCGGUUUGUUAAGCGAGAUGUGAAAGCCCCGGGCUCAACCUGGGAACUGCAUUUCGAACUGGCAAACUAGAGUGUGAUAGAGGGUGGUAGAAUUUCAGGUGUAGCGGUGAAAUGCGUAGAGAUCUGAAGGAAUACCGAUGGCGAAGGCAGCCACCUGGGUCAACACUGACGCUCAUGUACGAAAGCGUGGGGAGCAAACAGGAUUAGAUACCCUGGUAGUCCACGCCGUAAACGAUGUCUACUAGAAGCUCGGAGCCUCGGCUCUGUUUUUCAAAGCUAACGCAUUAAGUAGACCGCCUGGG
rnacentral:rRNA from 1 species